rnacentral:rRNA from 1 species
AGCAGCCGCGGUAAUUCCAGCUCCAAUAGCGUAUAUUAAAGUUGUUGCAGUUAAAAAGCUCGUAGUUGAACUUCGGGAUUUGUCCAUUGGUCAGGCUUAACUGUCUGUACUGGUGAGUCGAAUUCCUACCUUCUGAGGAACUUCUAUGCCAUUCACUUGGUGUGUUGGGGAAUCAGGACUGUUACUUUGAAAAAAUUAGAGUGUUUAAAGCAGGCUAACGUCUGAAUACAUUAGCAUGGAAUAAUAGAAUAGGACGGUUUGGUUCUAUUUUGUUGGUUUCUAGGAUCACCGUAAUGAUUAAUAGGGAUAGUUGGG